GGGGCUAUAGCUCAGUUGGUAGAGUGCUUGUCUCACAUGCACAAGGCCCUGGGUUCAAUCCCCAGCCCCA
rnacentral:tRNA from 1 species